rnacentral:rRNA from 1 species
AGAAUCAACGCUGGCGGCGUGCCUAACACAUGCAAGUCGAACGAGAAAGUGGAGCAAUCCAUGAGUAAAGUGGCGACCGGGUGAGUAACACGUGACUAACCUACCUUCGAGUGGGGAAUAACCUCGGGAAACCGGGCUAAUACCGCAUAAUGUCUUCGGACCAAAGGAGCAAUUCGCUGGAAGAGGGGUCGCGGCCGAUUAGCUAGUUGGCGGGUAACGGCCCACCAAGGCAAUGAUCGGUAG